AGAGUUUGAUCCUGGCUCAGAGUGAACGCUGGCGGCAGGCCUAAUACAUGCAAGUCGAACGGCAGCACAGCAGAGCUUGCUCUGUGGGUGGCGAGUGGCGGACGGGUGAGGAAUACAUGGGAAUCUGCCCAGCCGUGGGGGAUAACGUAGGGAAACUUACGCUAAUACCGCAUGCGCCCUUCGGGGGAAAGCCGGGGACCUUCGGGCCUGGCGCGAUUGGAUGAGCCCAUGUCGGAUUAGCUAGUUGGCGGGGUAAAGGCCCACCAAGGCGACGAUCCGUAGCUGGUCUGAGAGGAUGAUCAGCCACACUGGAACUGAGACACGGUCCAGACUCCUACGGGAGGCAGCAGUGGGGAAUAUUGGACAAUGGGCGAAAGCCUGAUCCAGCCAUGCCGCGUGUGUGAAGAAGGUCUUCGGAUUGUAAAGCACUUUAAGUUGGGAGGAAGGGCAGUAAGUUAAUACCUUGCUGUUUUGACGUUACCAACAGAAUAAGCACCGGCUAACUUCGUGCCAGCAGCCGCGGUAAUACGAAGGGUGCAAGCGUUAAUCGGAAUUACUGGGCGUANAGCGCGCGUAGGUGGUUUGGUAAGAUGGAUGUGAAAUCCCCGGGCU
rnacentral:rRNA from 1 species